rnacentral:rRNA from 1 species
UACGGAGGGUGCAAGCGUUAUCCGGAUUCACUGGGUUUAAAGGGUGCGUAGGUGGGCAGUUAAGUCAGUGGUGAAAUCUCCGGGCUCAACCCGGAAACUGCCCAUUAUACUAUCUGUCUUCGAAUAUCGUGGAGGUAAGCGGAAUAGUGUCAUGUAGCGGUGAAAUGCUUAGAUAUGACAUAGAACACCAAUUGCGAAGGCGCUUACUACCCGAAUAUUGACACUCGAGGCACGAAAGCGUGGGGAGUCAAA